rnacentral:rRNA from 1 species
GAUCCUGGCUCAGGAUGAACGCUGGCGGCGUGCCUAACACAUGCAAGUCGAGCGAUUCUCUUCGGAGAAGAGCGGCGGACGGGUGAGUAACGCGUGGGUAACCUGCCCUGUACACACGGAUAACAUACCGAAAGGUAUGCUAAUACGGGAUAACAUAAGAAAUUUGCAUGUUUUUCUUAUCAAAGCUCCGGCGGUACAGGAUGGACCCGCGUCUGAUUAGCUAGUUGGUGAGGUAACGGCUCACCAAGG